CUUACAAAACUCUAUGUAAAAUAUUAGUAAGAUACAACCAAACCAAACCAAGCUAACGGUGUUGAUAGUUACAUAACUACAUAAGGGACCUUCUCGCGCCCAAAUUUACGAAAAUUUCUCCCUCAAUCGGGUUUGGCGUCUGGAAUGGCGGAAGAAGCUCCGUCGAGUCCAGGCGGUUCCGGCGGGAGCGGGAGCCACGAGAAAGGAGGUGCGGGUGGGGAUCGGAGCCCUCGGUCGCCGUCGUCGAACGUUCUGGAGCUGGACGAGGACUUGUUCUUGCCGAUUGCGAAUGUCCGUCGGAUCAUAAAGAAGGGGAAGGUGUUACCCGUUGAUGCGAAGAUUGCGAAGGAUGCUAAACAGACUUAUCUCGAGUGUGUUUCUGUGUUCAUCAGCUUUAUCACCAGCGAGGCAAGUGACAAGUGUCGAAAGGACAAGAGGCAAACCCUUAAUGGUGAUGAUCUGAUAUGGGCAAUGAACAGACUAGGGUUUCAAGAUUAUGUUAAUCCACUUAAGGCAUACCUUAACAAAUACAGACAAGUAACUCAGAUUGAGGUUAGUAAAGUUUUCAUCACACAUCAAUUAAUUAUCAUUUUAGUAUUAUAUAAGAAUAAGAUGAUUGAAUUGAUUUGUAUGAAUCCUGUUAAAGGGUGAGUACCUAAGAUCUAUAAAAGAUCAUGAUGUACGAUCUGUUAGAAAAGACGCUGCAACCUGAUCAAGAUAACACAGUUACAAUCACACAGCUGCAAGGCACAGAAUAGCAGCUAGCUUUUUGGAUGACAUUUCUUUUUUAUCUCAUUCUCAAGUUUGUUUGUUGUUAAGCUAUAUGUUCUAUGUAUUUGCUUGUAAUGUAGAGUAUAUAUAAUUAUAUGUAAUAUAAUGAGGUUUUUCAUUUAUACUUAAGAUAUUUAUAGCAUGUAAUAUCAAUGAGAAAACACAUGGUUUAUAGCAA